rnacentral:lncRNA from 1 species
CCACUACUCUGGAGGAGCUGAUUCCGUACUCUGCUGGAUCUUCAAUUCCUGACCGCUGGAAAUUGGCUGCAAUUUUCCUGGGGACCUCCAGGUUAAAUGCCAGGAUCCCGGUUACUGGCAGACUGAGAUAAGGAUGACAGCCCCAAAAGACCACGAGGUUCCUAUCUGUUCAUAUUUGGUGGGCAGCUUUUGUCUGCAAGAA